UACAGAGGUCCCAAGCGUUGUUCGGAUUUACUGGGCGUAAAGCGCACGUAGGCGGCUUGGUAUGUCGGGUGUGAAAUCCCCGGGCUCAACCUGGGAACUGCAUCCGAAACUGCCUUGCUCGAGUAUGGGAGAGGGAAGUGGAAUUUCCGGUGUAGCGGUGAAAUGCGUAGAUAUCGGAAGGAACAUCAGUGGCGAAGGCGACUUUCUGGGCUGUAACUGACGCUGAGGCGCGAAAGCGUGGGGAGCAAACAGG
rnacentral:rRNA from 1 species